GACGAACGCGGCGGCGUGCCUAAUACAUGCAAGUCGAACGAGAGCGACUGGUGCUUGCACUGGUCAAUCUAGUGGCGAACGGGUGAGUAACACGUGGGUAACCUGCCCAUCAGAGGGGGAUAACAUCCGGAAACGGAUGCUAAAACCGCAUAGGUCUUCGAGCCGCAUGGCUUGAAGAGGAAAAGAGGCGCAAGCUUCUGCUGAUGGAUGGACCCGCGGUGCAUUAGCUAGUUGGUGAGGUAACGGCUCACCAAGGCCGUGAUGCAUAGCCGACCUGAGAGGGUGAUCGGCCACAUUGGGACUGAGACACGGCCCAAACUCCUACGGGAGGCAGCAGUAGGGAAUCUUCCGCAAUGGACGCAAGUCUGACGGAGCAACGCCGCGUGAGUGAAGAAGGUUUUCGGAUUCGUAAAACUUCUGUUGUUAGAGAAGAAC
rnacentral:rRNA from 1 species